UUUUUUUUUUUUUUUACAGAAACAGAAGAUCACUGCUUUAACAGUAAGUCCUUGUUCACAACAAACCAAAUACAAGCAAAUUCAUUUAGGUGGGAUCUAAUACUCACAUAGACAAACACUAAGUUGGAAAAAAAAAAAUGAGCACUUAAUGAACGUGGACACACAACCAUAAGUCAUCAUUAAAACACAAGCACUUCGAGAAUGGGAUAAGCAAACAAGGAAAACACUGCUAGUCUAGUCUACUAUGUCAUUGCUGCAGCUGCUGCUAAUGUAGUUUCUUGUUCUUGUUGCUGCUGCUGGGGCUGCUGUAGUUGCUCGCUUUGCCAAACCCAAACAAUAUCUUGGAGAGCAGGCUUUAUAUCCUCUUUCAAUACCUUCUGAUAUUCCAUUGUAUCUCCGCUAGAUUUCUUCACCUCUACCAAAUAAAAAUUCGGAGUGACCUCAAAGAUCUCUGCAUCAAUGGAUAAGGGCCCUUUUCUACCCUCCUGUAGUCCUUCCAUUUUCAGCAAACCUGCUUCCUUCUUCAUGAUCUUCAGCCUUAGACGCUUGGCAACAUCUUCAAGUUUAGAUAUGAUGACCGAUGCAGGUUGCACAGAAGUAAAUCUUGCUUCUCUCAGUUGAGAAUUUUCAUCAAAUAAUCCAGAGAGAUUAAACCCAGCUGAAAGAGAAAUGAUAUCAAAAGCAUUUAACUUUGGAGGUUCGACUGACUCAUGCUUUGCCUCCAAAGACAUGCUGCUAUUCUCAGAAGGGCCAGAACCAUUCCUGUCCAAAACAUCCUGACUUUCUGUUUCAGUUUUCUUCUGUUUAGAGUUCAAUCCUUUUCUAUACCAAGAACUUUCUUUUAUCUUAUCCAUGGAAAUCCUAGUAGUGGGGCUUGGAUCAAGCAUCUUAAACAGCAGCCUACGAGCUUCAUGAGGAAACCAAUUAGGGCAUUUGAACUCAGCUUUGCCAAUUUUUCUGUACAUCUCCAUCAAGUUUGAAUCAUGAAAUGGAAGAUACCCUGCCAGUAGAACAAAUAAAACCACACCACAAGACCAUAUAUCAGCUUUCGCCCCAUCAUAGCCUUUCCUGUUGAUCACUUCCGGAGCUACGUAUGCAGGUGUCCCACAAGUUGUAUGGAGUAGUCCAUCUUGGUGUUUGGAUUCAGCAAGUGCACUUAACCCAAAGUCACUUAUCUUUAGAUUCUCAUUCUCAUCCAACAAUAGGUUUUCUGGCUUUAUGUCUCGAUGAUAAACACCCCUGCUGUGGCAGAAAUCAACUGCAUUGAUCAACUGUUGAAAAUACUUGCAUGCAACAUCCUCCUUUAGCUUUCCUUUAGCAACCUUGUUAAAGAGUUCACCACCUUUACAAUACUCCAUUACAAAGUAAAUCUUACUUUUGGUUGCCAUGACCUCAUAAAGCUGCACAAUAUUAGGGUGUCUAACAAUUCUCAUCACAGAUAUUUCCCUCUUGAUCUGAUCAACAAGCCCUACCCUUAAAAUCUUCUCUUUGUCAAUCACCUUAAUUGCCACACUUUGAUACGUUCUGAUACUCCUUGCAUAAUAAACCUUUGCAAAGGUGCCUUGGCCAAGCAAUCUCCCUAUCUCAUAUUUUUGUGUCAAGAUACUGGGUUUAUUUUCCAUCACAGGCCAAAAAUGCAAAUUCAAUAAUCUCAACUAUUCUAUCCCACCAAUACGCUACAUAUAUAAUCCACAAAACACAAGAGUUACGCACAGUAGAAGCAGCUCAACCGUCUUCACAUAGAUCACGCAUUAACAAAACAGGAAAUUUGUAAAGAGUUGCAGGCUCAUAUUGCUCUUCAGCAGAACAUGCGAAUGAGGAAGUACAAUCUAAGAAUCUAGUCUCAUCAAGGACAACAAAAGGCAAGUCUUGCAAUGCCACUAACUUAUGGGCAUCAGUGACAGAGUUCCAAACAUUCAGGCACAUCAUGCAGCAUUCCCUAGGUUCCCCCUUUCAAAGUAGAACUCAAGAAAGCUGUAAUGAACUUGCUGAGCGAUUAACUUGAGGAACUUCAACAGAAUAUCCGUAUAAUAAUCGCAAAUUGGGUUUAUAACCUUUUAUUGAUCGUAGUUGGCUGCUGUGGAUCCAAGACCAGAACGAAGAAUAUGAUCGAGACAGCUAACUCUUGUUUUCCUUUAUAUUUUUUUCUCUCUGGUUUGUGGGGUUCUUUUGUUAAUCGAAACAGAAACAGAAACAGAAACAGCAAAUGAGAAAAAGAAGCUUUUUUUUUUUUUUUGAAAGAACUGAAAU
rnacentral:misc_RNA from 1 species